rnacentral:rRNA from 1 species
AGCAGUCGCCGCGGUAAAACCAGCACCUCGAGUGGUCAGGAGGUUUAUUGGGCCUAAAGCAUCCGUAGCCGGUUGCAUAAGUUUUCGGUUAAAUCUAUGCGCUUAACGUAUAGGCCGCCGAAAAUACUGUGCAGCUAGGGAGUGGGAGAGGUACACGGUACUCGAUAGGAAGGGGUAAAAUCCUUUGAUCUAUUGAUGACCACCUGUGGCGAAGGCGGUGUACCAGAACACGUUCGACGGUGAGGGAUGAAAGCUGGGGGAGCAAACCGGAUUAGAUACCCCUGUAGUCCCUGUCUCUUAUAC